rnacentral:rRNA from 1 species
CCUACGGGUGGCAGCAGUGAGGAAUAUUGGUCAAUGGUCGGGAGACUGAACCAGCCAAGCCGCGUGAGGGAGGAAGGUACAGAGUAUCGUAAACCUCUUUUGUCAGGGAACAAAGACUGGGACGCGUCCCCGGAUGAGUGUACCUGAAGAAAAAGCAUCGGCAAACUCCGUACCAGCAGCCGCGGUAAUACGGGGGAUGCGAGCGUUAUCCGGAUUUAUUGGGUUAAAAGGGUGCGCAGGCGGUCUGUAAAGUCAGCGGGCAAAGCCCGGGGCUCAACCCCGGCCCGCCGUUGAAACUGGCAGUCUCGAGUUGGAGAGAAGUAUGCGGAAUGCGCGGUGUAGCGGUGAAAUGCAUAGAUAUCGCGCAGAACUCCGAUUGCGAAGGCAGCAUGCCGGCUCCACACUGACGCUGAGGCACGAAAGCGUGGGUAUCGAACAGGAUUAGAUACCCCAGUAGUC